rnacentral:rRNA from 1 species
UACGUAGGGGGCGAGCGUUGUCCGGAUUUAUUGGGCGUAAAGAGCGUGUAGGCGGCCAGGUAGGUCCGAUGUGAAAUCUGGAGGCUCAACCUCCAGCGGUCAUUGGAAACCAUCUGGCUAGAGUCCGGAAGAGGAGAGUGGAAUUCCUGGUGUAGCGGUGAAAUGCGCAGAUAUCAGGAAGAACACCGGUGGCGAAGGCGGGUCUCUGGGCCGUAACUGACGCUGAGGAGCGAAAGCAUGGGGAGCGAACAGG